UACAAACGCUGGCGGCGUGCCUAAUACAUGCAAGUCGAACGCAGUUUCGAACGGGUGAGUAACGCGUAUGUAACUUCCUCAUAGCGGGGGAUAACUAUUUGAAACGAUAGCUAAUACCGCAUACUGUGAGAUGGACCUGCGUUGUAUUAGCUAGUUGGGGAGGUAAAGGCUCACCAAGGCGACGAUACAUAGCCGACCUGAGAAGGGGAUCGGCCAACCUGGGAAUGAGGAACGGGCCAGAAUCCUAAGGGAGGCAGCAGUAGGGAAUCUUGGGAAAUGGACGGAAGUCUGAACGAGCAAAGCCGGGGGAGUGAAGAAGGUUCUCGGAUCUUAAAGGUAGGUUGUGAGAGAAGCGGUAACUAAACAGAAAGGGACGGCUAACUACGUGCCAGCAGCCGCGGUAAUUC
rnacentral:rRNA from 1 species